rnacentral:rRNA from 1 species
UACGUAGGGUGCGAGCGUUAAUCGGAAUUACUGGGCGUAAAGCGUGCGCAGGCGGUUUGCCAAGACAGAUGUGAAAGCCCCGGGCUCAACCUGGGAAUGGCAUUUGUGACUGGCAGGCUAGAGUGUGUCAGAGGGGGGUAGAAUUCCACGUGUAGCAGUGAAAUGCGUAGAGAUGUGGAGGAAUACCGAUGGCGAAGGCAGCCCCCUGGGAUAACACUGACGCUCAUGCACGAAAGCGCGGGGAGCAAACAGG